rnacentral:antisense_RNA from 1 species
UGUGGGAGCUGGCUUGCCAGCGAUGGCGAUUUAGCAGUCACCAUUUUUAUAAACUGACAGUCCGCUAUCGCUGGCAAGCCAGCUCCCACA